rnacentral:rRNA from 1 species
CAGUCGCCACGGUAAUACAGAGGGUGCGAGCGUUAAUCGGAUUUACUGGGCGUAAAGCGUGCGUAGGCGGCUAAUUGAGUCGGAUGUGAAAUCCCCGAGCUUAACUUGGGAAUUGCAUUCGAUACUGGUUAGCUAGAGUGUGGGAGAGGAUGGUAGAAUUCCAGGUGUAGCGGUGAAAUGCGUAGAGAUCUGGAGGAAUACCGAUGGCGAAGGCAGCCAUCUGGCCUAAUACUGACGCUGAGGUACGAAAGCAUGGGGAGCAAACAGGAUUAGAUACCCCAGUAGUCCCUGUCUCUUAUAC